rnacentral:rRNA from 1 species
AUAUCACUAAGCGGAGGAAAAGAAAUUAACUAAGAUUGCCCCAGUAACUGCGAGUGAAGCGGCAAGAGCCCAAACUGGAAAUCUUCACGUUUCACGUGACGAAUUGUAAUCUAAAGAUGGUUUGCUCAACUGGAGGAGGCGCAGAAGUGCCCUAGAACGGGACGCCAGAGAGGGUGAGAGCCCCGUAUGUGGUGCCUCUUCCAAUCGAGCAGGUUGUCAAAGAGUCGGGUUGUUUGUAUUGCAGCCCUAAGUGGGAGAUAAACUUCUUCUAAGGCUAAAUACCUAUGGGAGACCGAUAGCGCACAAGUA